AGAUUAUAGUGUUUCCAAUGAUUUGAGCCAUUAUUAAACAGAUCAAACCUGCGACUCCCAAUUUGAAUGCUUCACUUUCAGGCAGAAAGCAGAAUCUGCCGUUCAAUUUCAGCAGCCAUACAUGACGCGAAGGAGGCGAGGGUGAGGGUUGCAACAAUGGAAAACCCUAUCACGAAGAAGCUGGAUGGUGGCUUUUCCAUGGCGGCCAGAAGAUCGAAGAAGUGGGACUGAGUUUAAAUCAAGUCAUGGUAUUUGAAAGGGAAAGGCUCUUCGAGUUUCUGCAGGGAAAUGGCCCCACGCCAUUGUUACAGGAUGAAGAUGCAAGUUUUUGCCAAUAUUUGGAUUCCUCAAGCCGCUUCUUAGCAACAAUGGAGGAGUACUGAGAGCCCCACAUGCUACUAUAGUCACCUUGGACUCAACCAAGCACACCUGUUUCACUCCUGAACCACACCCAAACUCGAACGCAAUGCCUUUCGCUCUGUUGCGUUCGCUCCCGUCUUUCUUCUCCUUCCUGAUAUCAAUGGCUUCGCAGCCGGGAAGUAUCACGCCAUUUCCCGACCUCACCAAGUCCACAAGCCAUGUCUCUGCAGUGCCCUUCUUUCUCCCAUCUUUGCAGCCUAGACAGCACCAGCCACAAUAAUGAUCAGAAGUUGAAUUUCUAGGAAUAUUGAUAGCAUGCUGACCAAUUCACUGUUGAGCCUCCACCAACAGUAGAGCCUGCAAGUACAAGCACAUUCAUGUUAUCAGUUGCUACUAACCCACUUGAAAGCACUCCAGCCACCACUCCGCCACCCGACCCAGACCCGACAACCACCGCAUCGCACUUGAUGAUCAUUGAAGGGCUGGAAGCUUUGAUCAUUGGGGAUAGAAGAGUGACUGGAAAUCCAAACUUUCUAAGUGCUUCUGCUGCUGCUGCUGCUGCUACUUGUUGGUUGUCCAGAUGGACAAUGCCUUUGAAUAGAGGUCCGUAAAGCUCUUCUUCAUCUUCCUCAACUUCUCUUGAUGCUUCUAACUGCUUGGUUUUGGCUUUGAAUUGGGGGUCCGCUCCCGGGUAGUCUAUCGCUUGCCAUGAUAUGUUGUUCGUUUUAUCAUCAACCUGAUCCAACCACAAAAUAGAAAGACCCAUUUUUCUCA